rnacentral:rRNA from 1 species
UACGUAGGGACCAAGCGUUGUUCGGAUUUACUGGGCGUAAAGGGCGCGUAGGCGGCGUGACAAGUCACUUGUGAAAUCUCUGGGCUUAACCCAGAACGGCCAAGUGAAACUGUUGUGCUAGAGUGCAGAAGGGGCAAUCGGAAUUCUCGGUGUAGCGGUGAAAUGCGUAGAUAUCGAGAGGAACACCAGAGGUGAAGACGGGUUGCUGGGCUGACACUGACGCUGAUGCGCGAAAGCCAGGGGAGCAAACGGG